rnacentral:rRNA from 1 species
AGUGAACGCUGGCGGUGGGCCUAACACAUGCAAGUCGAACGGCAGCACAGUAAGAGCUUGCUCUUACGGGUGGCGAGUGGCGGACGGGUGAGGAAUACAUCGGAAUCUACUUUUUCGUGGGGGAUAACGUAGGGAAACUUACGCUAAUACCGCAUACGACCUACGGGUGAAAGCAGGGGAUCUUCGGACCUUGCGCGAUUGAAUGAGCCGAUGUCGGAUUAGCUAGUUGGCGGGGUAAAGGCCCACCAAGGCGACGAUCCGUAGCUGGUCUGAGAGGAUGAUCAGCCACACUGGAACUGAGACACGGUCCAGACUCCUACGGGAGGCAGCAGUGGGGAAUAUUGGACAAUGGGCGCAAGCCUGAUCCAGCCAUACCGCGUGGGUGAAGAAGGCCUUCGGGUUGUAAAGCCCUUUUGUUGGGAAGGAAAAGCAGCAGGUUAAUACCCCGCUGUUCUGACGGUACCCAAAGAAUAAGCACCGGCUAACUUCGUG